rnacentral:tRNA from 1 species
GGGCCCGUAGCUCAAUGGUUAGAGCACCGAGCUUAUACCUCGGCGGUUUCUGGUUCGAGUCCAGACGGGCCCA